rnacentral:rRNA from 1 species
AUACAGAGGUCUCAAGCGUUGUUCGGAUUCAUUGGGCGUAAAGGGUGCGUAGGCUGUAUGGUAAGUCAGAUGUGAAAUCUUAGGGCUCAACCCUGAAACUGCAUCCGAUACUGCCGUGCUAGAGGAUUGGAGAGGAGAUUGGAAUUCAUGGUGUAGCAGUGAAAUGCGUAGAUAUCAUGAGGAAGACCAGUGGCGAAGGCGAAUCUCUGGACAAAUCCUGACGCUGAGGCACGAAGGCUAGGGUAGCGAACGGGAUUAGAAACCCCAGUAGUCC